rnacentral:rRNA from 1 species
GACGAACGCUGGCGGCGUGCCUAAUACAUGCAAGUCGAGCGAAGUUUUUCUGGUGCUUGCACCGGAAAAACUUAGCGGCGAACGGGUGAGUAACACGUAAAGAACCUGCCUCAUAGACUGGGACAACUAUUGGAAACGAUAGCUAAUACCGGAUAACAGCAUUAACUGCAUGGUUGAUGUUUAAAAGUUGGUUUUGCUAACACUAUGAGAUGGCUUUGCGGUGCAUUAGCUAGUUGGUGGGGUAAAGGCCUACCUAGGCGACGAUGCAUAGCCGACCUGAGAGGGUGAUCGGCCACACUGGGACUGAGACACGGCCCAGACUCCUACGGGAGGCAGCAGUAGGGAAUCUUCCGCAAUGGGCGAAAGCCUGACGGAGCAACGCCGCGUGAGUGAAGAAGGAUUUCGGUUCGUAAAGCUCUGUUGUUAGGGAAGAAUGAUUGUGUAGUAACUAUACACAGUAGAGACGGUACCUAACCAGAAAGCCACGGCUAACUACGUG